rnacentral:misc_RNA from 1 species
ACCCAACUGGAGAUCCACCACCACACACAGAAAAACCAAACAAAAACAGCGAGGCCGAGCAAGAGCGACAGAGAUCUACACCAAAUCAUGGGCGCCUGCAUCAGGUUCUGUGAGAUCCUCUUCGCCAUCCUCCUCCCUCCUCUCGGCGUCUUCUUCCGUCACGGCUGCUGCAGCUUGGAGUUCUGCAUCUGCUUGCUAUUGACGAUCCUGGGCUAUAUCCCCGGGAUCGUAUAUGCUAUCUAUGUCAUUGUCGCCGUUGACCCGGAUCGUCAUCACCGCCAGGAUUAUUAUCAGCCGA